rnacentral:rRNA from 1 species
UACGUAGGGCGCAAGCGUUGUCCGGAAUUAUUGGGCGUAAAGAGCUCGUAGGUGGUUUGUCGCGUCCGCUGUGAAAACCCGAGGCUCAACCUCGGGCCUGCAGUGGGUACGGGCAGACUAGAGUGCGGUAGGGGAGACUGGAAUUCCUGGUGUAGCGGUGGAAUGCGCAGAUAUCAGGAGGAACACCGAUGGCGAAGGCAGGUCUCUGGGCCGCAACUGACACUGAGGAGCGAAAGCAUGGGGAGCGAACAGG